ACUGUUAUCGCGGAUUCAACUUUUAGAUUUGUCUUUAUUUUCAAUAUCCAUUAACUUCUCAUUCUUUCAAGUGCUCUGAUGAUUAUUUUUCUAUUAUUCAUUUCAAUUUGAUUUUACAAUUUUUCAUCUUUUAUUUUAUUUUUCUUCUCUUUUUUUUUUCAAUCAUCAAAUGCCCUCAUUUGUACUAAGCACAACUCAG
rnacentral:lncRNA from 1 species